UUCUACUCUUAGGCCGAUUAAGAAAGUCUUCUGUAAGGGCUCAUCUAGGUCAACUUUCUGGUAGCUCACUGCUGUUUGUAAAUGGUGUGCAGGCACACAGCGUUAUUUCGUGGCAGGAGCUAAUUCCCUAACCAGUAAGAAAAGAAGCCCCUCGACCACUUGGUACGUCAGCUUUGUUUUGUGUGGCAAAGGCUUUCUUACCUUGAUUCUGUAUCUGUGGGAUAGGAUCUGGAACUUCCCUAUGAACAGCUUCAUCCCAUGGGGAUAGCCGAGCAUUGCAUUUCACUUGGCAUGUGUUCUGCCCCCCUUUCAGCAGGAGAGCAGUGCUGCUUGGGGUGAGUACAGGACCGAGCAAGGCCUUAAAAAGACAGUUAAUAGCAUUGCACGGCUCGUCUAUGACCUAAGUAAUUGCUUUUUCUAGGCAAAAUACCAGGUUUUCAUCAGCAAUGUUAUUGCAGGAAAGCACAGCACCUGGGGACCCAUGAAGGGCUCUGCCAAGGGCAGGGUGUGAGCGAGCCCUUCCUGCAGGACCCCACUGCUGCUCCUGCUCCUGCUCGGGGCGCCUGGAGGGAGGCUCCCCGGGCACUGCCCCGUACCUGGGCACCUGCGGGGAUGGGAACGGGCUGCUCCGGGCCAGGGGAGCAGGCUCAGGUUCUCAGGGGCUGUCUCUGUCCUUUGAGUUAGGAGCCUUGAGAGGAAGCCAGCUGGGUUAGGUCACCCUCUGUCUGCCCUUCUGUACCCAAACACAAAGGCUUACGAAACUGAUCCUAUUCCGUACGGAGUGCUGCUGUUUCGGGGAUGGUCUCUUGGAGCACAGGAGAUAAUGAGCUAUUGCAAGGAGCAGCAGGGAUCUCUUGUUAAAUGGAAAAGAACAAUAUUGAGCAAUUACGGUGGGAGUUGCCAUGGAAACCCCGAGGCAGUGCUAGGGUGCAGCUGCAGCCUUGGGACGACGGAGCAGGGCUGGAUCAGGAUGGAUCAGCAUCCAGCGGGAUGGUUCAGCAUCCUGUCUGCCCUGCACAAUGGCUUCGUGUCAAAGGAGAUCCCAGAGUUCCUCCGGCCCUGCCUCACCAGUUGCUCCCACCCCAUGGGAGGGGAGGCAGCAGCGUGCUUUGUGUGGCUUUGUGCUCAGCUGUGGCAUCUUCACAGUGCUUUCAUUUCAGGAUGAGCAGUAAAUGAUGCCGUGGGAUUGCUUCCCGAGCCUGCCAGACGUGCAGCUGUGAGCACUGCGCACCACCGCGCCGCCUCGUCGCGGGACGUGACAAACACGUCCUGCUGCGAGCGCUUUGGAGAGGAGGCUGCUGAGAAACCACCUUGAUUUUGGGGCUGCUUGUCACUGACUAGCGCGAGAAAUUGCAGUAAAGGUUGUGCUCAAGCUGUGAAUUUGAACAAAUUCUUCGUAUGAAGCACACA